rnacentral:lncRNA from 1 species
AAUAACCAAAAUCUCAAAAAAACAAUAAAAACAAGAUAAAUAGAAAACACGAAAAACUGAAAAAAACACCAAAAACACAAAAACUAAAAUCUUUCAAAAAAACACCAAAAAAACACCAUUAGAGCCAUGCCACGUGUUUGGGCGUUCUUGGUGUGUGUGUGGGCGGCGUGCGAGGCGUGGGCGCACACCAGCCACGCCCAUAGAACAAGCCCUGCCUUCUGGGGUCCAAACACCAUUGAAAACCCAUUAUUUAAGACCAUUAGAGAGGUUUUUAAUGGGUUCCAAGAGGACGCGCACCCAUAUACGCCCCUUCAGAGCGCCCACGCCCCCACACGCCCACCCCACCACCUCGUUGAUCUCUAUAUGCGCGUCAGUAGAGGAGAGAGUGAGCGGUUACAUGGAAGUGAUACGGUUGUGUGUCUCUACCCUGUUUCAAAAGAUUUAAAUGCCACCCACAUCUUUGACAUAACAAGAUUAACACUAACAAGAAUGGGCGUGGCUGGUGCGGGCGUGUCUAUGGGCGCGUCAAGAGAGCUGGUCCACGCCUCUCUCCUCCUGCCGCCCACACGCCUCUCCCACGCCCAUCUGUUCUUCCCUGCCCACUCACCAAGGAAGAUUGUCACGAGAACAUUUCUGGCUGGAGUUAAAGUUAGCGACAUCACAAGAGAGGUGCGGGCGGCCAUCACUAGAGGCAUGAGGAAAAAGGACGCGCACAUAGAAAUUGGUAUAAGAUUGACGGAGAAGAGAGAGAGAGCGGGGAAGAGGAGGGUUGGGAGGGGGAGUGGAGGGAGACACGACCCCCAACAUCCUUCUCUACUUCAAAAACACGGUCCUAACUGCUGGUGUGGGUGUGUCCAAUGACCUUGCUGCAUUGUUUGAGAUGGAGAAGAAGAAGAGAGGAGGAGGAGGAGGAGGAGGAGGAGGAAGAAGAGGAAGAGGGAGGAGGAAGAAGAGGAGGAAGGAAGAAGAAGAAGAAGAAGAAGAAGAAGAAGAAGAAGACUUGAUUCCCUUCCCUAAAUAUCACUCGCAUAGAAAAUGGGGAGAGGACAAGGAGGAGGAGAGGAGGAGGAGGAGGAGGAGGAGGAAGAGGAGGAGGAGGAGGAGGAGGAGGAGAGAUAAACAGACAGACAUGAAAUGGAGAAAAUUUCCGCCAUAUUGGAUUGACUUGGAGACCAACACCAACAACGAGGCUAGACCACCACCACCACCACCACCACCGGGCCCCACCACGUGCGCAAGAACCCCCUCAAGAGUGUAUCUGGAUCAGCUAGGCUCAAAUUACGUCUUUAUGCCAAAAUACGUGAAUUUCUACAGGUGUGGCGGGGCGUGUGGUGGUGUGGAGGCUGAGCCGGCCUGGAAUAUUUCACAUAGACACGCGCCCCGUCCUCUCAGCCGCCCCCUCUGCCCCCCACGGCCCCCCACACAGCUGUAUACCCGAUCAAGUGAAGAAUUUAGCGAUAAUUUUAAAAACAUCAACUUGUUUUGUUUUAAGAGUGUUUCAAAAUGUUAUUGUCGAAACGUGCAGGUGUGUGUGAGAGAGAGAGAGAGAGAGAGAGAGAGAGAGAGAGAGAGAGAG